rnacentral:rRNA from 1 species
CCAGACUCCUACGGGAGGCAGCAGUGGGGAAUAUUGCACAAUGGGGGAAACCCUGAUGCAGCGACGCCGCGUGAGUGAAGAAGUAUUUCGGUAUGUAAAGCUCUAUCAGCAGGGAAGAUAAUGACGGUACCUGACUAAGAAGCUCCGGCUAAAUACGUGCCAGCAGCCGCGGUAAUACGUAUGGAGCAAGCGUUAUCCGGAUUUACUGGGCGUAAAGGGAGCGUAGGCGGCCUGCCAAGUCUGAUGUGAAAUACCGGGGCUCAACCCCGGGGCUGCAUUGGAAACUGGCAGGCUGGAGUGCCGGAGAGGCAGGCGGAAUUCCUAGUGUAGCGGUGAAAUGCAUAGAUAUCACGCAGAACUCCGAUUGCGAAGGCAGCAUACCGGCGCGCAACUGACGCUCAUGCACGAAAGCGUGGGUAUCGAACAGGAUUAGAUACCCUAGUAU